rnacentral:rRNA from 1 species
GGGUUAAGUCCCGCAACGAGCCGCAACCCUUGUCACUAGUUGCCAUCAUUUAGUUGGGCACUCUAGUGAGACUGCCGGUGACAAACCGGAGGAAGGUGGGGAUGACGUCAAGUCCUCAUGGCCCUUAUGGUAGGGCUUCACACGUCAUACAAUGGUCGGUACAGAGGGUUGCCAAGCCGCGAGGUGGAGCCAAUCCCUUAAAGCCGAUCGUAGUCCGGAUCGUAGUCUGCAACUCGACUACGUGAAGUCGGAAUCGCUAGUAAUCGCAGAUCAGCAUGCUGCGGUGAAUACGUUCCCGGGUCUU